CCUACGGGUGGUAGCAGUGGGGAAUAUUGGACAAUGGGCGAAAGCCUGAUCCAGCCAUGCCGCGUGUGUGAAGAAGGCCUUCGGGUUGUAAAGCACUUUCAGUGGGGAAGAAAGCCUUGGGGCUAAUACCCUCGAGGAAGGACAUCACCCACAGAAGAAGCACCGGCUAACUCCGUGCCAGCAGCCGCGGUAUACGGAGGGUGCGAGCGUUAAUCGGAAUUACUGGGCGUAAAGCGCGCGUAGGCGGUCUGAUAAGCCGGUUGUGAAAGCCCCGGGCUCAACCUGGGAACGGCAUCCGGAACUGUCAGGCUAGAGUGCAGGAGAGGAAGGUAGAAUUCCCGGUGUAGCGGUGAAAUGCGUAGAGAUCGGGAGGAAUACCAGUGGCGAAGGCGGCCUUCUGGACUGACACUAACGCUGAGGUGCGAAAGCGUGGGUAGCAAACAGGAUUAGAUACCCGUGUAGUC
rnacentral:rRNA from 1 species